GGGUCUGUAGUCUAGCCCGGCUAUGACGUCGCCUUCACAUGGCGGAGGUCCGGAGUUCAAAACGACGAAUACUCGUCGACGGCUAACGUCGGUGGGAUAUGCGCUACGCUUAAUCCCACUUAGUGGAUAUGUGCAUUCGUCAUGGAAGUCUCCGCAGACCCA
rnacentral:tRNA from 1 species